GACGAACGCUGGCGGCGUGCUUAACACAUGCAAGUCGAGCGGAUGAAGUUCCUUCGGGAAUGGAUUUAGCGGCGGACGGGUGAGUAACACGUGGGCAACAUGCCUCAUAGAGGGGAAUAGCCUUCCGAAAGGGUGAUUAAUACCGCAUAAGAUUGUAGCAUCGCAUGAUACAGCAAUUAAAGGAGCAAUCCGCUAUGAGAUGGGCCCGCGGCGCAUUAGCUAGUUGGUGAGGUAAGGGCUAACCAAGGCGAGGAUGCGUAGCCGACCUGGGAGGGUGAUCGGCCACAUUGGGACUGAGACACGGCCCAGACUCCUACGGGAGGCAGCAGUGGGGAAUAUUACACAAGGGGGGAAACCCUGAUACAGCAACGCCGCGGGUGUGAUGACGGCCUUCGGGUUGUAAAGCUCUGUCUGCAGAGACGAUAAUGACGGUACCUGAGGAAGAAGCCACGGCUAACUACGUG
rnacentral:rRNA from 1 species